rnacentral:rRNA from 1 species
CAGCCGCCGCGGGAAUACAGAGGGUGCGAGCGUUAAUCGGAUUUACUGGGCGUAAAGCGUGCGUAGGCGGCUUUUUAAGUCGGAUGUGAAAUCCCUGAGCUUAACUUAGGAAUUGCAUUCGAUACUGGGAAGCUAGAGUAUGGGAGAGGAUGGUAGAAUUCCAGGUGUAGCGGUGAAAUGCGUAGAGAUCUGGAGGAAUACCGAUGGCGAAGGCAGCCAUCUGGCCUAAUACUGACGCUGAGGUACGAAAGCAUGGGGAGCAAACAGGAUUAGAUACCCCGUGUAGUCCCUGUCUCUUAUA